GGCAACUUGGCCGAGCGGUUAUGGCGCCAGCUUCAGGUGCUGGUUCGAAAGAGCGUGGGUUCGAGUCCCACAGUUGUCA
rnacentral:tRNA from 4 species